GGCAGUAGCUUAGUGGUAGAGCAUCUGCUUUUCAGGCAGAAGGUCUCAGUUUCCAUCCCUGGCAGGGUUG